UUACGGGAGGCAGCAGUGAGGAAUAUUGGUCAAUGGUCGCAAGACUGAACCAGCCAUGCCGCGUGCAGGAAGACGGUCCUAUGGAUUGUAAACUGCUUUUAUACAGGAAGAAACCCUCCCACGUGUGGGAGCUUGACGGUACUGUAGGAAUAAGGAUCGGCUAACUCCGUGCCAGCAGCCGCGGUAAUACGGAGGAUCCAAGCGUUAUCCGGAAUCAUUGGGUUUAAAGGGUCCGUAGGCGGUCUUAUAAGUCAGUGGUGAAAGCCCAUCGCUCAACGAUGGAACUGCCAUUGAUACUGUAAGACUUGAAUGCUUAGGAAGUAACUAGAAUAUGUAGUGUAGCGGUGAAAUGCUUAGAUAUUACAUGGAAUACCAAUUGCGAAGGCAGGUUACUACUAAGUGAUUGACGCUGAUGGACGAAAGCGUGGGGAGCGAACAGGAUUAGAUACCCCGGU
rnacentral:rRNA from 1 species